GAUGAACGCUAGCGGCAGGCCUAACACAUGCAAGUCGAGGGGUAACUAGAGUGAUAGCAAUAUUACUUUGGCUAGACCGGCGCACGGGUGCGUAACACGUAUGCAACCUACCUUAUACUGGGGAAUAACUUCGAGAAAUCGGCGCUAAUACCCCAUAACAUUGCGAAGAGGCAUCUCUUUGCAAUUAAAGCUCCGGCGGUAUAAGAUGGGCAUGCGUCCAAUUAGCUAGUUGGUGAGGUAACGGCUCACCAAGGCUACGAUUGGUAGGGGUUCUGAGAGGAUGAUCGCCCACACUGGGAAUGAGACACGUACCAGAAUCCUACGGGAGGCAACAGUGAGGAAUAUUGCGCAAUAGGCGAAAGGCUGACGCAGCCAUGCCGCGUGCAGGAUGCCGGCCCUAUGGUUUGUAAACUGCUUUAGUACGGGAAUAAACCCUUCUACGUGUAGGAGGCUGAAGGUACCGUAAGAAUAAGCACCGGCUAACUCCGUGCCAGCCGCCGCCGUAA
rnacentral:rRNA from 1 species